rnacentral:lncRNA from 1 species
UGGGAGUGUGUACUGCUAAAUUUCCUUGUUGCUUUUGGCUUUUUUCCAGAAAGCAGUUUAGGGAUCAAGAUGUCUUUAGUAUCCUGAAACUAAAUAUUUCAUCCUUUCACUUUCAAAGUGAGGGAACUCAAGCCUAGAAGGUUCAGUGAUUUAUUGAAUGUCUCACAUAUAAUUCAAUCCUAGAACCAAAGUUUCUGGGCUCCCAGUUUAAUGUAUUGUCUAUUAUAUUUUAUUUUUAUGUGAAAGAUACAUAAAUAUCAAGGAAACAAACCAAUAUUAUAGAAUAUCAUAGAAACAGCUUCAGAUUUGUCCAAAACCAACUUCCCAUCUCUUCUCAUGUUAAAAAAAAAAUAACUACAUAUUUAUACUGAUUUAUCCAUUGGAAUAAUUAGGGUUCAAGUCUAUCUUUGAACUGCAAGUUUAAUUAUAUACAAUUUUAAAAAAUAAACAUAUUGAAUCCUUUUUUGGAGAUUUGCAACAAUUUUUAAAAACUUGCAGUUGAACCAUAUGGCCUGGAAAUAUAAAAAGAAAUUAAGAAAAAAGCUAGGGAUAUACUCAUCUGUUUUAUCAUACAUUAUGAUAAAAUACAUACAAAUCUAUUAUAAAAAGUUAAAAUUUCUCAAAACUUUCAAACCCAAAUACAGACUGCACAUGUACCAUUCACAGUCAAGAGAAAUGUGAGCAAACAUAAAGUAUUAAAUCAUUACUGCAUACAAUUAACUGUACAUACUGUAUUACUGCAAAAAUGUCAUAGCCAGCUCCUGUUGCUUUUGUGCUAAGCUCAGGUGUUGCAAGUAUCUGCUUAAAAUUUCAUGUCACUAAUUAUCUCUGUAUAAGCAGUUUGUGUCUCCAGUAAAUUCCAUAUGACAGUAAAAAGUGACCUCUCACUGUUCUCACAUAUUUUUCAUUAUAUUUAGUGCAAUACUGUAAACCUUGAAUAACACCAUGGGAUCUAUACAAAGUGCCAUUAGUGUUGCUGAAAGUGCUCCCAAGAAGCAGAGAAAAAUCAUGACAGGAAAAAGUUGAACUGCUUGAUGUUUACCAUAGAUGGAGGUCUGCAGCUGCGAUUGCCUGCCAUUUCAAGAUAAAUGAAUCUAGUGCAAGGCCCAUUGUUAAAAAAGAAAGAAAAUUCAUGAGGCUGUCACUGCAGCUACACCAGCAGAUACAAAUUUCCCACCAUUCUGGAUUCUGACACCCAACAGAAAGACUGUUAUUUGGCAUCAUGUGAAUUAGCCAGGAGACCUCUAAUUUCCAGCCAUUUCCUCUGGUCUGACCCCUAAACUCAGCUCAUCUGGUUUCUCGUUUCUGAGGGGACAAACACUUCCUAAAAGGCAGACCCUCUGGGGUUCUGAGGAGACCGUCCCUGACAUUGUUUUUACUUCAAGACUACAAGCGAAUGAAAAACAGCUACCUCUCACAAGAGGGCUGGAGCCCUUGAUACAGAACAGAUCUCCAACUGGCUUUUGGACUAAAAUAACUGAACCAACAAGAUAUUUUAGAG